rnacentral:rRNA from 1 species
AUGUCUAAUUCUUUAUCUUCUCCGUUAUCUCCCGAGAAUGAAGUUCUAAAUUUUAAGCAAAGGGAGGGAGAAAAUCUGAAACACGCUUGGUAUAGAAUUUGCAAUGCUCAAAAUAGAUCUACCAGGAAGCAAUCUACUUCAGUUCUUCUUCGUAAUUUUUACGUAGGUGCUAAUCCUUGGUAUAGAUAUAUCCUUGAUAUCAUUACCGGAGGGAAUUUCUUGGGUAGCCAUACUUUUGAUUCUUAUAAUGCUUUAUUAGAUUUAUUUGGCACACCACCUCUUUUGAUUAAUGGAACUACGUUAACUUUGGAGCAUGUUAUGCAAAGACUUGAAAUUAUUGAGAAUAAAGUUUCUACCAUUGAAUCAAUUGAAAAUCUUGAUAAAAAGAUCCACAAUCAAAUUACCCAAUAUGGAUCUAAGGUAGGAAUGACUUUAAAAAAUAUUAAAAAAAAGAACCCAUAG